rnacentral:rRNA from 1 species
UUAAAACCCAAAGGAUUUGACGGUGUCCCAUCCAACUAGAGGAGCCUGUUCUAUAAUCGAUAACCCCCGAUAUACCUAACCCCCCCUUGCCAAUCAGCCUGUAUACCUCCGUCGUAAACUCACCAUAUGAAUGCCAACAGUAAGUUUAAUGAUUUAUCAUCAAUACGUCAGGUCAAGGUGCAGCUCAUGAUGGGGAAAGCAAUGGGCUACAAUUUCUAAAAUAGAACCACGGAAUGCUCUAUGAAACACAGCAUGAAGGCGGAUUUAGUAGUAAAAAGUAAAUAAAGUGUUCUUUUUAAUAAGGCCCUAGGACGUGUACACACCGCCCGUCACCCUCUUCAACAGCACAUUAUAUGUUUUUAACAAGUUCUGCACUCUAGAAGAGGCAAGUCGUAACAUGGUAAGUGUACUGGAAAGUGUACUUG